UCUCCGUAGGUGAACCUGCGGAGGGAUCAUUACUGAGUGAGGGCUUCGGUCCGACCUCCAACCCUUUGUGAACCAACCUUGUUGCUUCGGGGGCGAACCUGCCGCUUCGGCGGUGCGGCGCCCCCGGAGGCCAUUAAACACUGCAUCAUUGCGUCGGAAUUAAAGUAAAUUAAACAAAACUUUCAACAACGGAUCUCUUGGUUUCAGCAUCGAUGAAGAACGCAGC
rnacentral:misc_RNA from 1 species